CCCUUCUGCCCAGCCAUCCCACCGAGCGGGUUCCCCAUUCCCGUGCGCAAAGGGGAUCCCUCCGUGCGCCGUCGGGAACCUGUGCCGCCGCCAGUCCAUUCCCUCUGACGCCACCGCCUAGGGAGCACGCGACGGAUCACGCGCUCCGCUUCCAGUGUGCAUUGCAGUGGUGGAGGAGAUGGCGUCCUGAAGAUGACGCCCAGUGAGUGCCCUCCUUGGAUUGAUCCUGGCAAUGCGUUUAAAUUAGUUGUUAAAUGUGCCGGAUAUAAGGCAAUUCAUGACUAUGGAAUCAUAGAAAUGACAAAGCAAUGGCAUGAUCUGUGGGUGGAUACAUGUUUUGGGUACAAUUUGGAUAACUUUGUGAAUGAUAUGGCAAGCAAGAAUAUCUGGGGUCUAGUUAAGAAAUUGUGGUGUGGGCAGUAGAUUCUGACAGUGCCGCUAAGUGGAAGCUUAGUAAAAAUGAGCACUUUGAGGAGAUGAUUGCAUCUAGAAAAAAAAUGAGAAAAUGGCAAAUAUUGUUGUUGAAGUAGUUGAUAAGGCUGGAUAUCAACCACUACACAGUUCAACUUGGUUCAAAGGCCGUUCUGGUGUCACUAGUCAUGCUGAUCCAGUAUGUCCUUCAUCUCAUGCUGAAGGUGCAGGUGACACAUUUACCUCAUGCUGAACUUGUUGAUUGGAGUCAAUUGACUAUUAUCCCCAAUCUUGAUCAAGAUGGAGAACCUUAUGUGUUAGCUGAUGAGGAUAUUGUAUUUGAAGCAAUGAGAUUCAAAGCAGCUGAUGAGAGUGCAGCACAAGCAGCUGAGGAAGACGCUGCUAUUCCAGCCAUUCCAGAAGACCUUCUAGAUGAUAUGAAUGAAACAAGUAUUGAUGUACUUGACAAUGAGGAUUCAGAGUCAGUGUUGGAUUGGGACAGGGACAACCUAGAGAUGGCAGUGGGUACUGUGUAUCCUUGCAUGGUUGAUUUUAGGUUGGCAGUCAAGCAACAUGCUAUAGUGCAAGAGUUUGGGCUUGGGACAGAGAAAUCUGACAAAAGCAAAUUUAGGGGAUAUUGCAAGGCCAAUGGAUGCCCUUGGGUAAUUAGAGCUAGAACACAAGCAGAUGGGUGUGUUAGGGUGCAAAUAAACAACCUGGAACACAAGUGUGCUUCAAGAAGCAGAGUGUGUGGCACAAUGGCUAGCCAAGCGUGGGUUGCUGAAAGGGCAAUUCCCCUUUUGAAGAGGAAGUCAAAUAUGGGUGCUAAAGAAGUGAAGGAUGCUUUGGAGGACAAGUAUAAAAUCCAGAUUAACUAUCAGACAGUGUGGUAUGGGAGACAGAGAGCAACAGAGAAACUUUUUGGUAAUUGGGAUGAUUUAUUUGACUGGUUGUAUAGGUUCAAGGCAGAGGUGGAAUUGAGGGCACCUGGUAGUGUGGUUGAGAUUGACAGUGUUGAAAUUGGCAAAAAGAGGCACUUCACUAGAUUCUUUUGUGCUUCCAAUGGCAGCAUAGAUGGAUUUUUAUAUGGAUGCAGACCUUAUAUUAGCAUAGAUUCCAUUGCCCUAAAUGGGCAGUGGAAUGAUCACAUGCCUGCAGCAUUAGAUUUAAAUGGUCAUAAUUGGAUGUUUCCAUUAGCAUUUGGUUCUUCCAAUCAAAGACCAAGGAUGACUGAAUUUGGUUCAUAGAGCAACUGAGAAGGGCUAUUGGAGAACUUCCAAAGUUAGCUGUAUGCACUGAUGCUUGCAAGGGGUUAGAAGUUGCAGUCAAGCAUGUCUUUCCAUGGGCAGAACAGGGAGAAUGUUUCAGGCGUCUCAUGGAGAACAUGAAGAAACACUUUAUAGGAGAAGUGUAUGCAGCAAACAUGUGGCCUGCAGCUAGGGCUUAUGCACCUAGGAAGCAUAAGUAUUUCAUGGACAAAGUAAUUGAAGCUAGUCCUGAUGUAAAAAAAUGUCUUCGAGAGCACCACAAUCUCCUAUGGACUAGAUCAAAAUUUUCAACUGACAUCAAGUGUGAUUACAUCUUAAACAACCUAGUUGAGUCAUGGAAUGCAUGGAUCAAAGAAUUCAAAGAUCUGCCACUUCACUAUAUGGUAGAUGCUAUAAGGAUAAGGGUGUGAUCAUGAUGGCAAAGAGGAGAAGGAUCUCUAGAGCUCUUCAUGGAGUCAUUCUACCAACUGUCAUCCAUCAACUAAAUGCUGGCUCAAAGGGAUUAGACCACCUCAAAGUCACCAAGAGCCUUCCUGAUCAAGCUGAGGUGAUAGAGAUCUAUAAGGAUGAAGAGGUAAGAAGUCAUGUUGUGUACCUCAAAGACCACAUGUGUACCUGCAGGGAAUGGCAAGUGACUGGAAAGUCUUGCCCACAUGCCUUGCAACCAAACUAUGAUAAAUUUAUGGAUAUGGCUUAUUCUGUACAGAGGUUUAGGCAAGUAUAUGAUCUUGGAUGGCCUAAUAUCACUGACAGGAACCAAUGGCCUGAAGUUGAGAAAGAAUUUAAGCUAUAUCCACCUGUGGCACAGAAGAGAGGUGUACGUAGACAAAGAAAAAAAAUAGAAUACCAUCGUGCCUAGAAAGAACCGGUAAAGUUAAAAGGCAAGUGAAGUGUGACAAUUAUGAUGAAAAGGGGCAUAGAAAGGGAAGUUGGAGGUGUGAGCUAACUAAGACAAAGAAGAGGAAAAGAACCAAGAAGACCAUUGUCAAGGCUGGAAGGAAAAAGGCCAAGGAAGACUCUGCUUUAGAGGUGGUGUUAACAACUCCCAAGACAAGAGCAACAUCAGCUAGGGAGGCAACAAUAGCAGCAGCCAAGAAAGCUGAAGCAGAACCUAAUGAAGUAGAAGCAUCAGCAUCAAUGCAAUACACUAAGAAGUGAUUUAUGUCACACAUGUCAUGCAUGUCACAUAUGUUGAAAUACCACUAAAGACUUUUAUUCUUGCACAUGUUAACCUAUAAGGUGGAUAGUAGGUUACCUAUAGCUGAUCACUGGUUGUUUCCCUUUCUGUGUCAUUUCCAUACAUGGAUUGAACAUGAUAUUUCAUCUCUUUUGCUGUUUGUCCAGGAGGCUAGAUUUGGAGGCACCACUGGCUUUGGAGCACCACUGGUUUUGAAGGCACCAUUGGAGAAGGCAACAAAUGUGGCCAAGAAGAUGACACCAAGGAAGAAACAGCUGGCCAGCAAGGUGAAAAAGAAGUCACAAGCAAAGAAGUAGAAGUUACAUGGCCAUGAACUGUUCAAGUUUGGAAACUUUGUUCUAGGACGUGUUGCUGCUGAAAAAUGCAUUAGAACCAUAGUGGUUACUAUUUUUCUUAUUUCAUAACCUUUUAUCUUGAUAUGUCUGUAAGUGAAGGCUUGUUUAUGUGUGCUUGAUCAGUACUUGUUUAUCCAAGAUGUGUUCUCUCAUGUUCCCGAUGAUAUAUUAUGUUUGAUCAGUAUUAUUCCUCCCUCA